AUCACCCACGCCAGGCAAUUUAUCAUCAAUCAAUCAAUCAAUCAAUCACUCGAUUGUCUGUCGAAAUUCCAAAGUGCAGCAAGUCUAAUGUGAGAAAGGACAUUAAUCACCUCGUUGCGAUUCUAAAAGUGCAUUUACUGCUCGGGGCCUUCCUAUGACGCAAUAGCGCUCUGCACUCUAUUUGUCGUCAAUUUUAUAGCGGUUUUACGGCCGACCUAUUUUAUUUUAUGCACAAUUUUUCAUAAUAUUACAUACACACUGUGAGCAAUUACGAGGCGAAUUUUUCAACCGAUAAUUACACUGCGAUUAAUUGGAAGGUCGGUUAUGUUACUUUGUAACAAAAUCGUGCACUAAGUAAAACUUUAUACAUAAAUUAAGACUUGCCGAGAAUUUUAAACAGUUUUUUCAACCAACAAAAUCAAAACGAACGGCCGCUGGGAAGACUACUCAUUACGCAAAAAGAAAAACGAGCUCGGAUUUGAGACGUGUAAUCAGCGAUUUCGGACGCCUUUUAUUUUGCACAAAGGAAAUCAUUCCAAUCGUUCUAUUUAGAACUAAUUUGUAAAAAAAGUAUGCGAAAUGUUGGAAAAAAUAAAUAAAAAAAGGAAAAAAAAUGAUAAAUGGAAUUUAGAAGCAGUACUAAAAAAAUAAAAAAGUUAAAUGAAGUUUAGAAACUUGGACAAAAGGAAAAAAAAUUAAGAGAUCCAUCAAAAAAUAUGCAAGAAUAGUAGUAAAAAGCUUUAGAAAUUACAAUUGUACUGUUAUAGUAAAAAAAUGGAAAAAUCUGCUAAAAAAGUGGAUAUAUCAUAAGUGAAAAAGUAAAAUAACAGACUAAAAUUAUUAGUAAUAGAAAUAAUAGUAACAGUUUUACUUGUCUCUAAAAACAUAAUCAUAAUCAUAUCACUCAUAACACAAGUCAAUAAAAUAGGAUAUUAUUAAAAAAAAAUCGAAAAAUUUACAAUUUUCCUCAAAAGGAAAGCAACACGAACACAGCAAACAGAAAUAAAAAAAUUAAAAAAAUCUACUUUAACAAAAGAAAGAACAAAAAAUUGAAGAAAAACAUACAAAAUAGUGGAAAAAACUGAAAAAUUACAUUUCUUAUUUGACUAGAUUUAAGAGAAUUUUUUUCUGCGUCGAUCUGUAUUAGCAUUCCUUAUCUGUAAUAAUUUUACUCAAGUGUUGUUCAAUAUUUCAAGUUAUGUUGUUUUUUUUUGACGUUUAAACACAAAAUUGAAAAUAUCUCAUGUGAUAUGACACGUAGGUAAGUUGGUUAAAUACAGGGUGGUUUUGAUGAGAUGUCCUACGAAUUUUUGUUGUUGUACAGUCACGAUCAAAAAGAAUGACACCCUUAAAACCGCAGCCACAAAUUAUUUCUAACUAGCUGGAUAUUGUGUAAACUAGCUGGACACUUAUUUUGUUGAAGUCUAUGACUAGGGGUGUCAUUCUUUUUGAUGGUGACUGUACGUUCCUUCGCUUGAUCAUAUUUAUAGUUGACGGCAGCUAAAUAGUGAAACUGUGCCACAUCUGCUCAUUUUGCACUAAAAUUGUCGUCGUCUCUGCCGAAAUUUUUCAUAAAUCUGUGCAAGAAGCGUUCUAAAAUUAGCCGAGUGGACGUCCGUUAAAAUAAAAUCCGGAUGUUUGUUUAGGUGAGUUUAUUCCGGUGGAAAGUGCAUCCAGUCUCUAUUUAUAAAAUAGUGGCAAUCUCAAAUCGCUCCUCCUUUAAGCCAAAUUGGUUUAUGGAAGAUUAGACAUGGCUCGCUUCACAAUAACACGACAACACGUGACACAAAUUCGCUCUAAAUUAUGCAUGAGCGAUAAUAAAUAUGCAAAUUAAUUUAGCAACGCAAAUACGAGAUGCACCAGAGAUUAAUAAAUAGAAACCAAACACUUCCUGUAUUAGCGCAUUUGCCAAAUAUUUCAACACCCACCGAAUAGUUUCACCAGAAUUAACGCCACAUAAAUCAAUUAUGACAAAGACGGCCGCUGAACGAUUCCGCUCAAGCGAAUUUUUUGGAUUUUGCUCAAAAAUUUUCAGAUAAGCGAGCCUUCAAUUAAAUUUGAUUUAGCGGUGACGUACAUUUACAGCAGAAAAUUUCUUCCUAGAACACACCGUUUUCAAGCUCUCACAAAAAUCCACAUCCCGAACAUUUUGCAUUAAUGUUGUUUAAAACCUAAUUAAGGAGAAAAGUCUGCGUUUGAAAAUAAUUUUUAAUAGAGGGCGAUUAAACGGUGUCAAAAUUCCAAAAUUCGAGAAUUAUUAUUAUUAUAUUAUUAUUAUUUUUGUAGUCAUUUAUUCUUAACAUUUGACUAAUAAAUUGCUAAUCGCUGAAAUAAGACGUAAUUUCUCAAAGUAAAUUAACCCACAUUUGCGGCUUCGGCGUGCAACCUCUGCCAUUUCCUGCAAAAGUUGCAUUUUUUCGCUGCAUUUCACGUCUAAAAAUAGCGUCGAAUUUUUGCGCUGGUAGGUGUCUGUCAAAUACCUUCGUCGCUUUCGUAAUCUCUGGUGUAAUUUGUUUAAAAUGAAUUUUUCGGUGCAAUAAAUGUUUAGAUAACUGGAGCCGUAUUUACGGAUGCAGUAAGGUUAAGUUGAGGGCAAUUGCUGCUAUUCUUAACUUUGAAAUAAAAUAAUAAAAUCUAUUUUUGCGUGGCUGCUGCACUCGUUAUUAGCGAAGGUCGUCCUAAUAUGCACCAGCUGAAAAAUUCCUCGGCGGCGGUUACGUAACAGCCAGCUCCAUAAUUGGUCCAGGUGGACCCGGAGAUUCUCAAGGCUACAAGUUGGCCAGCCUGCGGCCAUCAAAUAUUCGCCAAAUUCGUAAAUGGAUCAAAGUGGAUGAUUAAUGAUGUUUCAAUUGUGGCGAGCAGACGUUGCCAGGGCCGGGCCCAAAAAAAUUCUAGUCAGGCCGGCCGCGAGCUGGAGACGGUUAUUGGCAUCCAGCGGAAAUUAGUUGCGAUUUUUUGCUGCAUAAUGGGAUAUUAUUGCUAUUUUAUCGCGGGAUUUCUUCGGGAAAUGUCCCGCAUUGCCUGGCUUUUCGCUUAAAUCAUCUUUAGCGAUGGCAGACAAAAACUGUGGCAGAACGAGUCGCUAAUAUGGGAGCUAAUUAAUGAGAAGCUGUAUUAUAUCAAAUCAAAACCAUUAAAGAUAGCCGAGAACUUGAUUGCUUAUUUUUAUCACGACACUGGAUUCUACAACUCUUCAACAACCGAAAGAUGAGUUUUAGGUGAAGAUUAUCUUCCGUAACUGUAAACCGGAGAAAUUCACUACGCAUCACAAGCUGAUCUCAACGUGACGCAAAUUUGGAAAAAUAACCGCGAUAAAUCACACUUUUCCGGUCUAAAAACCACAAUCCGAAAAUCAACCAAAAUUUCGGUAAAAUAAGAAAUAAUGCAAAAACUGACCGCCGUUUAAAAAAAUAAAUCACAACUUUUUAAAUACAUAGUAUUAUAAAAUUCUUAAAAUACCGAUUUUUCUGAUGAAAAAAUGGUGGAAUACAAUCAAAAUAAAAAUGUUGGCUCUUACGGAUGUCGUCUGUUAUGGAAAAUAAGUCAACUUCAAAGGGAAAAAAAUAUUAGAUGACACGUUGUUUAAAAAACCGUAUGGUGUUAAUUUUUUAGGACUAUUACAGAUAACUGUUACACAGUCUCAUAAUUUAACAUAAAAAUAAGUUGUCUAAAAAUAUAUUUUUAGAAAAAAAUCCUAGUUUAUUUUUUUCUUUUUUAUUUAUUUUUGCUGGUGUUGAAAAAUUGAAAACAACCAUAUUUUUCAUCUAACAUACUAUAUAGAUAUUUCUGAUAUAAAUUUUUCGUUGUUGUGCUCUUCAUAUUUUUUUAUUGAUAAGUACCUACAGGUAAAAAUUUUGACCAAGUUAUUCGGAUUAUUUGCACAAUUCUGAGUCGACUCACACACAAUUUUGCCAAGACGUAGAUAAUUAACCAUGAGAUUUUUUUGGAUCAAUUUCUCAUUUUUUAUUUUUUAGUUAGAUGCUCGUAUAUCGAAAAAAUUAGAAACGACAGUUUUUUAUCUAAUACCUUCAAACUAAAAAUCGUUGAACAAAAGUUGGAAUUCUCAGACAAUUUUAUGUCGAGUUACUUUUCACAUAAAUUUUCGGUUAUUGUUUUCUUGAUUGUUUUCUGCUUGGUAGAUAAGAAAAAAAUUUGACCAUGUUGUUUUAUCUACAUUAUUUGCACAAUUUUUACUUGACCGCCACAAAAUUUCGCUUAGGAAUAGAGAAUUAACUGUAAAAGAGGAACCACAAGUCGUUUUAGUUACUUUGUAUUUAUUAUGUAUUUUUACUAGAAUAGAAGAAAUAGAAUCAACAGUAUUUUGUCUAAUACCUCUCUCCAAAACUACGAACCAUAAAGCAAACGUGAAGACAGAGUUUUAAUUUUCCUUUAAUACGGUGAAAAGUUUCCAAUAAAGAUCGAAAAUAGUGUUUUCUAUUUUGUUUUUUUUUGUUAUUUUGUUUUUUAUUUCAUGUGUUUAUGGUGAAAAUAAAAUCUUGAAUUUUGAGAAAUUAUUGAGACCUCCAUAAACGCCCCAAAAAUAUAACAUUUUGGCGAACUUGAAAAUGUCAAUUAAUAAAACGAAAAAAAUUCUAAAAAAACUAAAGGAUGGCGUUUUUGAUUGAAUAAUGUACUGUAACAAAUCAUAUUUAUUAAAAAAAAAUUUUUCAACGGCGUCAUCGGAAAAUAUUUUACACCCUGCACAAAUCCCAAGAAAGUACGUUAGUCCUCCAGGGGAGGAAAGUAUUUUCCUCGCAAAUUUUCCACCCAAAAAAUCAUUUAAAACACUGGAGAAAAACCUCUUUUUUCUUUUAGAUGAUUACCUAAUGAACUACCUAAUUAAUUCAUUGUCUUUUCUGCCUUGACAUACAAAAAGCAAUUGUUAAAUUCAGUUUUGACUGAAACAUUGUUUUAUUGUUACACACAUUUCCAAGAAAAAGUACUAAAAAUUUACAGAACAGAUGAGAAACUAAUCACCUUCUAGAGAGAAAUGUUGUCAAUGAUUUUUUUAACCAUUUGUUUAGCUGUAAUAACAAGGUUGUAUUUUUUAAAUGAAUAUCACAGGCGGCUGUGAAAUUUUUGAAAAUCUUAUUUUUUUGAUUUGAUAUGUCUAAUUGUGUAAUCCCCACCUUAUUUUUGAAUUAAAAAAAUAAAAAAAUUAUAUUUUGCAUUUUCUUAUAGUAGGCCAUGACAAAAUUUUGGAUCUUCAGUGUAAAAUACAUCCUGUUUCGUCUAAACCCUACAUAAGAAAUUUACAGAACAGAUGAGAAACUAAUUACCUUCUAGAGAGAAAUUAUUUUUAAUUAAAAACGGAAAUAUCAAAAUAUGGAAAAUAAAAAAAUAGUUCAAAAAAAUCAAACGGUUCAAAACUUAAUGGCAAACUUAACAAACCAAUAAAUAAUAAUAUAAUGUUUUGAGUAUUAUAAUGCUCAUAAUGAGAAGCUUUAUGCCAGCUUUAUCCUAAAAUAAAAUUGUUUUCCUGCUGAAAAAAGCUUUCUGCCAAGCAGUCAAACAUAAGAUCUUGUAAAAUUUGGUUUUUCCAAUUAGGAAUUUGAGUUCUUUGCUUGCAAUAGUGAGUGUGAAACGGCGAAAUUCUGAACUUUUCGGAAAAUUUCCUGAAAAAGUGCUUUUUUCUGAGGCAGCUCUCGGUGUGAUUGAAUCGGUUUGUGUUGUGGUGCAAGCCUUUGCAGACAGCGAAGAGACGGACGUACGCGAGUUCGUCGAGGUAAUAACCUCUAAAGGCCGGUCCGAGGUGCGCGGGUUAUGUAAGUGUGCAAGUGUUGUCUGCAUGGACGACUCGUCAACAGCGACCUUGACAGAUUUCAGCGGCCUUGGGCUGAAAAAAACCGUCUCCAACCCCAUACCGACUCGAUCAGACGCCGCAAUCAGCGGCUAUUGUGUCUCCUACACAGCUAUUUUCACCGGGCUCCAAUAAUAUUUUGCACUUUAAUGCAAAACACCAACAAUGCUAUUUUUAGGCGCAUAAAGUUUAUUUGCUGACUUUAAGUAGGUGAAGACUGUUUUCUCUUGCGAGGAUGAAUGCGACUGAUGUGUUUUCUUGGCAGCCGGAAUAACAAAACAGCCAGGCUUCAUUUUUGGCGAUUUUUUUGGUCAUUGACUCCGCCACCAACCCUCGAAGAAAUGUGGUUGGCAAUUCAGAGGCCGUGUUUUUUCUCGAAGAAAGGAAAUCAUGCGUUAACUCGUUAGCUGCAUAUAUAAAACGUUUACGUCUGCCCGACAUACAUCCUGUUAUUCCCCCGUGUCAUGUUUACCUGCUCAGAAAUGUAUAUUCAUAAUUAAUAGUCUGCCUGUUUUUACGACACAUUUCUAGCAACCACCGCGGUGAUUUUUAUUGCUGGAACUUUCAGAAUUACUAAUUAAUCGUUGCGUCAUCGUCUGGAAGGUAGUACCAUCAGGUACCCACACAGAGAUCAUCUACUACUUCUCGAAAUGAUUUAUGGUUUCGGUUCCAAUCCGUCCUUCGCCAAAUUAAUUAAUACUUUUCCAUCUAGACUCCUUAAUUGAAUCGAAUGCAGCGAUUUCAUGCCUCACUAAGGGGAAAUUUCACGUGGGUGUCGCUUCGCGAAAAAAAAACUUGUACCAUUUCUGUGAUGGGCAGUGGAAUUUAAAUGGAUUCGUUCCAUGAAACUUUCAUAAAAUCUCAUAUUCAUUGCAUCGUUUCAUUCCAGGUGCAAUUGCAUCGUAAACUCACUUAGAGCUAAGAGCUUUCGUUACUUCUAUUGCAAAAUAAUGUAUAAAUAAUAAGCCGAACAAAAUUUUAUAAUCUUAUGAUAAAAAACACAAAGUAUGUUUGAAAUACAAGCGUUAUAAAGACACUGUUUAUGCAUAAUUUAAUAAGGUUGUCAGUGAUUUUUUUUAACCAUUUGUUUAGCUGUAAUAACAAAGUUGUAUUUUUUAAAUGAAUAUCAUAGGCGGCUGUGAAAUUUUUGAAAAGCUUAUUUUUUUGAUUUGAUAUGUCUAAUUGUGUAAUCCUUACCUUAUUUUUGAAUAAUAAAAAAAAUAAAAAAUGUUUAUUUUGCAUUUUCUUAUAGU